AGUUUUUCUGUUUCCAACACUAAAUUGAACUUUCACACACGAUUAAAUCAUCGGAGAGCAAAACUGCGUCUUGUUAGUAAAUGUUCCCCUUCGGACUGAGGUAACGUGCCAUAGUUCUCACCAUAGUCCUUCCAGGUACUGUACCGUUGCAGUGGAAGCAAUGAGUUGAACCGCUGCCUUUGAUGACUUGCUUGGAAGGCAGAAGAUCACAGACAAUCGAGAACUAAUGGGACCAGUGGAACUUCCCCUAUAAAACCAGACCGGGAUUGGAAAUGAAGGUCAAUAAGUAAAUAGGCGCAGGUUGGGUACGGCGUCUCCUCUUCGCCUUGCCUUCGGAACACUUGUCUUUUACACCCUUCAAUUUCAGCUGGGCUGAUAAUCCAGAAUUUUAGACGGAUUUCAGAAAUCAUAAGGUAUCAUUGAAGCAAUGAAAAGAGAGCUACUGUAACAUAAUGAAACUGGAUCUGGCUUCUGGCUUCCGGCUUCCUCUUUUUGACUAUUGCCAUAAUCAAAGGAAGAAUGGCACAAAUUUAUUGAUAGCGUUUAUAACUCAAAAUGAGUUAUUUUCCUUGAAAGCUAGUAAUGACCACCAACAACAGUGAUGCUUUUUGUUGAGCUGUGUCCUCAUCAGUUAACUUAAAGUGCCUGAGCAUGACAUGGUGGAUCUGUUGAACAAGCCUCAUCUAAUUGCCCUUUAACCUUGUGGUCAUCUUGGCAUAACAACACCCCGAAGGAACAUGUGUUGCUCCCCCUGCCGAGAGAACACAGUCAGUCUUUCAUGACCAUCGGCUCUCCUUGCUGCUGCAUGGUUCUUCCCACCCCAAACUGUAACGUUUAAACGAUGCGAAGCUGAUGCACAGACGGAGUAUUUGUUUUUCUGUAUUCGAGGUUGAAACACUGUAGCAAUUUUCAUACUUAACAUCCAUCUGCAUAGUUAUUUUUCAUAAUGUAAUUUUGCAGAUUUUCUCUUACUACAUGUCAUAAAAUUAGUGUAUAUGAAAUUAAUUCACUUUCAUGUGAGUGAGUGAAAACACAUUUUAGAGAAGCACCUGCUCCAGGGGAAAGCCUCUGUUUCAGCAACACAGCUAAUACUAAUAUUGAAUACACAACUAAUCCUAACCCUAACUUGAGGGUAUCACAGGCAAUCAUAAGCCGCAGGGCACAAACCCAGCAUGCCUCAAAAUGACCUUCUCGAUUAGCAACGGGCUUUACCCUCAGCCGACUGAAGCUGCGAACUGCAUAUAUGACCACUUUGACGUAACAGAGGUGGAAUGACAUCAGAUAGACCUGCAAAUCUUGGAAUGGAAGCCAUCACCUCGGAUCCAUCGCUCCCCAUCAGUGAGAUAUAAGGCCUCUUCAUCCCAGCACCGAUGAGAGAGUGCAGAGUGACAGGAGAUGGCAGCAAGGCAGGAGGCCAAGCCCGAGUCAGGACAGGGCUAAAUGCGGGAAUACCUAACGUCAGGGUGCAGGAGGCCAGCAGAAUGGCCCCAACACGCCCGCAAGAAUUGCGGCUUUGUUCUUGGAGCGGCCUUGAUUUGUGGGAAUGGUGUGACCUUCGGAGAAACACAAAUCUCUUGUUCUUGCUUGAACCGGCUUUUUAUUCCUGAUGCUACAGCGCUGUGGCAAGCGGGGCACAAGGCUCAAACUUGUGACGCUAGUAAUAAGGCAUAAAUCACGUAAGUGGUCGCCCAGUACAGCUUCCUGUUUUCCUGCAUCGUGUCGAGUCGAAUGAAGAGGGAGGGCGAUGUGACCGCAGUCACCCGGGACACUAAUCACACACUGGCAGAAACACGCUUUCCAUUUUUUGCUACCUAUUGUGAUUUCUCUUGCCUUCUCUGCUUUAACCAGAGAAAACUAUCGCUGUUGACUGAAUAGCAGAAACAGCAAAGUCCUCUCCCUUUCAUUCUAUAAGCAGUUGUUGGCCAAUGUAAUCAUCUUUCAAGCAGCGAUGACAUCAGUGCAUAAAGUGCCCAUUUUCUGUUGGCCUUGCACCAUUUUUCUCCUCAUCGUAAAUGAUUCACUUCACGUGGAUGUUGCUUCAUGGCCCGGAGAAUACCAGCCAAAGCACUGACUCGGGCCUCGUUCAGUGCAAACAGAUGAGGUAAAAUGUUCUUAAGAGGCAUCUGAAGCUUCUAGCCAAGUGAUCUGAAUGACUGACAGCCUUGAGAAGCAACUUCUAACACUUGCAGGUGUGAGUUGCAUUACGAACCAAGUGACAGGUGGGACAGUUUAGCACGA